GACGAACCGAGCAACCGUUAUUCGGACUCACUGGGCUUAACGGGCGCGUAGGCGGGCCUUCACGUCUGUUGUGAAAUCCUCCAGCUCAACUGGAGAACGGCCGUGGAUACUGGUGGUCUCGAGGAAGGUAGGGGCAUCUGGAACUGGUGGUGGAGCGGUGAAAUGCGUUGAUAUCAUCAGGAACGCCGGUGGCGAAGGCGAGAUGCGGGACCUUUUCUGACGCUGAGGCGCGAAAGCCAGGGGAGCGAACGGG
rnacentral:rRNA from 1 species